UACGAAGGGGGCGAGCGUUGUUCGGAAUCACUGGGCGUAAAGGGCGCGUAGGCGGCCCUUCUUGUCGCGUGUGAAAGCCCCGGGCUCAACCUGGGAACGGCGCGCGAGACGGGAGGGCUGGAGUUCGGGAGAGGAGCGUGGAAUUCCCAGUGUAGAGGUGAAAUGCGUAGAUAUUGGGAAGAACACCUGAGGCGAAGGCGGGUUGCUGGGCUGAUACUGACGCUGAGGCGCGAAAGCCAGGGGAGCAAACGGG
rnacentral:rRNA from 1 species